UACAGAGGUCUCAAGCGUUGUUCGGAUUCAUUGGGCGUAAAGGGCGCGUAGGCGGCGAACCAAGUCAGAUGUGAAAGUCCUGGGCUUAACCUGGGAACUGCGUGUGAUACUGGAUGGCUUGAAUCCGGGAGAGGGAUGCAGAAUUCCAGGUGUAGCGGUGAAAUGCGUAGAUAUCUGGAGGAAUACCGGUGGCGAAGGCGGCAUCCUGGACCGGCAUUGACGCUGAUGAGCGAAAGCUAGGGGAGCAAA
rnacentral:rRNA from 1 species